UAGUUGGUGGGGUAAAGGCUUACCAAGGCAAUGAUGCGUANCCGAACUGAGAGGUUGAUCGGCCACAUUGGGACUGAGACACGGCCCAAACUCCUACGGGAGGCAGCAGUAGGGAAUCUUCCACAAUGGGNNAAAGCCUGAUGGAGCAACGCCGCGUGGGUGAAGAAGGUCUUCGGAUCGUAAAACCCUGUUGUUAGAGAAGAAAGUGCGUGAGAGUAACUGUUCACGUUUCGACGGUAUCUAACCAGAAAGCCACGGCUAACUACGUGCCAGCAGCCGCGGUAAUACGUAGGUGGCAAGCGUUAUCCGGACUUAUUGGGCGUAAAGGGAACGCAGGCGGUCUUUUAAGUCUGAUGUGAAAGCCUUCGGCUUANCCGGAGUANUGCAUUGGAAACUGGGANACUUGANUGCNNAAGAGGAGAGUGGAACUCCAUGUGUAGCGGUGAAAUGCGUAGAUAUAUGGAAGAACACCAGUGGCNANNGCGGCUCUCUGGUCUGUANCUGACGCUGAGGUUCGAAAGCGUGGGUAGCAAAUAGUCCACGCCGUNAACGAUGAAUGCNNUUNANUGCUGCAGCUAACGCAAUAAGCAUUCCGNUGUGGUUUAAUUCGAAGCAAC
rnacentral:rRNA from 1 species